AGUGAACGCUGGCGGUAGGCCUAACACAUGCAAGUCGAACGGCAGCACAGUAGGAGCUGGCUCUUACGGGUGGCGAGUGGCGGAGGGGUGGGGAAUACAUCGGAAUUUCCUUUUUGGUGGGGGAUAACGUGGGGAAACUAAGGCAAAUACGGCAAACGACCUAGGGGUGAAAGCAGGGGAUCUUCGAACUUUGGCCAAUUGAAUAGGCCGAUGUCGGAUUAGCUAGUUGGCGGGGUAAAGGCCCACCAAGGCGACGAUCCGUAGCUGGUCUGAGAGGAUGAUCAGCCACACUGGAACUGAGACACGGUCCAGACUCCUACGGGAGGCAGCAGUGGGGAAUAUUGGACAAUGGGCGCAAGCCUGAUCCAGCCAUACCGCGUGGGUGAAGAAGGCCUUCGGGUUGUAAAGCCCUUUUGUUGGGAAAGAAAAGCAGCAGGUUAAUACCCCGCUGUUCUGACGGUACCCAAAGAAUAAGCACCGGCUAACUUCGUG
rnacentral:rRNA from 1 species